rnacentral:rRNA from 1 species
UGCGUAGGCGGCUCUAUAAGUAUGGUGUGAAAUCUCCCGGCUUAACUGAGAGGGUGCGCUAUAGACUGUGGGGCUAGAGGGUGGGAGAGGAAAGUGGAAUUCCUGGUGUAGCGGUGAAAUGCGUAGAUAUCAGGGGGAACACCGGUGGUGUAAACGGCUUUCUGGACCAUUUCUGACGCUGAGGCACGAAAGCGUGGGUAGCAAACAGGAUUAGAUACCCUGGUAGUCCACGCCCUAAACGAUGCAUAUUUGGUGUGGGCCAUUCAUUUGGUCUGUGCCGGAGCUAACGCGUUAAAUAUGCCGCCUGGGGAGUACAGUCGCAAGGCUGAA